rnacentral:tRNA from 2 species
CGGAGCGUGGCGCAGCCUGGUAGCGUACACCCUUGGGGUGGGUGGGGUCGUCGGUUCAAAUCCGGUCGCUCCGACCA